GUUAUAUUUGGCAGGGAUAUUUUGCUGGAGGUCCGUCCCUACUUGAGGUUUUCUAAAGUCAACAGAAGCACAAAACCACAGAAUUGUAGUGACUCUCAUCGCUGGAUUUCAGCAGAAGUGUGGCACAUCCCAGGAUAAAUUCCACCUCGGUGAAAGCACAGCCCUCAGGAUUCCCUAAGGUUACUCUUGAACAUGUGGAGAUCAGGCUCCAGCUCUUCCUGUUAGAAGGAAAUUUCCUGGCCACCUCAACACAUGCACAUCACAUUGCAGCACGGCAGCUGGCUGACCCAUUCCUACCUACCCUCACCCAUCCUAUCCAUUCUCAAACUCUUACUCCCCACUUAAGAAUGAGACUUCCACUGUCAUCCCACUCCCUCCAUAUUGUCGUGCCAUGGUUGGAACAACAGCAGACAAUGCUUUAUCAUUCUCCUCAUCCGUUGAAAGGAUUUGCGCAUGGAAGAAGACAGAAGAAAAAGAAAAUUUCCUUUACCCUAUAUUAAAAAAAAAAAAUCACUGAGUAUUGAGGCAAUCAUUUUAGUGUGUUCCAGCACUUUGCUGCAAAAAAAUCAUCAAAUUGAUGCAUUCUGCUGAUUGAAUGAGGACCAAAUCCUUUGGGAAGAAAUAGGGAAAACAAAACAGGUAAUCCUGUGGUCAGAUACUGCAUAUUUGGGGUGUUUUGCAGUUCUAGAAUAUUUGACUUUUUUGUCAGGAUUUAUCAGUCUUUAAGAUAGUUUUUACAUGCUGUAUUUAUAACUCUGGCUUGUGCAUGUUCUUUGUUUCUCCUACCUUGUGUCUGUCUUAGAUGUUGCUUUACAUCUACAUUAAGACUGAAAGCUCUCAGGAUAUGAAAAUUAUCUUCCUUUAAGUAUGAAAAGCAACUAGCAUUUGACAAUAUCAUAACUGUUGUAAUAACAAUAACCUGAGUUACCAUUUUAAGUCACAAAAGGUCACUGCUUAAGGAGACAGGAGACAUAAGAAGGUAUGUUCUUAAGGAAAACUCUUUUGGUAUUAAACAUCUCAGCAUUUAUAAGGGUGUAAAACAUUUUUCCCUGGAUGUGUUUAAAAGCUGUUUGGAUGUGGUACUCAGGGAUAUGAUUUUGAUGUGGGUUGUUAGAGUAUGGCUAAGUUGCAAUUGGACUUGCUGUUCUUCAAGGUUGUUUCCAACCUGAGCAGUUCUAUGAUUUCAAGAAGCUGAUCUUACAGCUGAGUAAUUGCUAGCUAUUUUACAGAUUGUCUGUAUUUGGCAAGAGAAAAUGUAGGAAAUAAGUUCCUUCCACUUCGCUGGCUAUUGCUGGUGUAACUUGUCCUACAGGAGUAGGCAUGGUGACAGAAAGAAACUCAAAGGGAAGAAUCUGAUCAAACUUCUCUGGAGUAUGUAAGUAUUUCAAAUCUAUUGCAUCUGAAAAUACUGUGUUAGGCAGGCAUCAAGCAAUAAAACAUCUGACAAAAGCUUUCUAAUUACUGUAAAGGUGAGCUUCCCACUGAGCUUUCAUCAAAGUUUUAACCCAAACAAUGAUAAUCAACAGAGAUGGUGACAAAUGGAAAGGAAGUGAGGAAGAAUAGUGACAUUUGGUGCUGAACCAUAUGUGCGUGGUUUGAAAGACAUGACUGAAUUGUUUUUGGUGCUCUAUUAUUCUGACAUUUAGAAUGAGGCAAGUUUCCAUUUCCAUUAAUGUACUGCCAACUCAAAGGGGAACUGUCGCAAAUUUGAGACUAAAGAAAGCUGUUCCUCAAACUUCUCUUGAGCAUAAUCAGUGCCCUUGCUAGGCAACAGUGUAGUAUCACAAUGUAUAAUCUAAAUGAUUCUUACAGCUUCUGCUUCUUAAAUACAAGAAUGUGUUUUAUACCCCACGAUGAUAUGGCAUCACUUUGAUAAAAGAUGGUGGGUUUAUCUAUGAAUGAAGAGCAACCAGUGCAAAGGAUCUCUGUUCAUCAAGAUUUUUUAGUACUAACCUCUCAAGUAAAGCCACUGAGGAAAGUGACCCGGGUAGAGGACAU